UGGGGAAUAUUGGACAAUGGGCGAAAGCCUGAUCCAGCCAUGCCGCGUGUGUGAAGAAGGUCUUCGGAUUGUAAAGCACUUUAAGUUGGGAGGAAGGGCAGUAAGCGAAUACCUUGCUGUUUUGACGUUACCGACAGAAUAAGCACCGGCUAACUCUGUGCCAGCAGCCGCGGUAAUACAGAGGGUGCAAGCGUUAAUCGGAAUUACUGGGCGUAAAGCGCGCGUAGGUGGUUCGUUAAGUUGAAUGUGAAAGCCCCGGGCUCAACCUGGGAACUGCAUCCAAAACCGGCGAGCUAGAGUAGGGCAGAAGGUGGUUGAAUUUCCUGUGUAGCGGUGAAAUGCGUAGAUAUAGGAAGGAACACCAGUGGCGAAGGCGACCACCUGGGCUCAAACUGACACUGAGGUGCGAAAGCGUGGGGAGCAAACAGG
rnacentral:rRNA from 1 species